GAUGAACGCUAGCGGCAGGCCUAAUACAUGCAAGUCGAGGGGUAGAAGAGGCUUGCUUCUUUGAGACCGGCGCACGGGUGCGUAACGCGUAUGCAACCUACCUUCAUCUGGGGGAUAGCCCGGAGAAAUCCGGAUUAAUACCGCAUAAAAUCACAGGAUGGCAUUAUCCAAUGAUCAAACAUUUAUGGGAUAGAGAUGGGCAUGCGUGUCAUUAGCUAGUUGGCGGGGUCACGGCCAACCAAGGCGACGAUGACUAGGGGAUCUGCGAGGAUGGCCCCCCACUGAGGUACGGAGAGACGGACAAGGCUCCGACGGCGGGCCGCAAUCAGGAAUCUGCGUCGAUGGAGGGAACUCUGAACAAGCCACGCCGCGUGCGGGAAGACUGCCCUAGGGGUUGUAAACUUAUUUUACUCGGGAGUAACCCUUAUUACGUUUGAUAAGCUGAACGUACCGAAGGAAUAAGGCUCUGCUAACUCCGUGCCAGCAGCCGCCGUAA
rnacentral:rRNA from 1 species